rnacentral:rRNA from 1 species
GGAUGAACGCUGGCGGCGUGCCUAAUACAUGCAAGUCGAGCGAACAGACGAGGAGCUUGCUCCUCUGACGUUAGCGGCGGACGGGUGAGUAACACGUGGAUAACCUACCUAUAAGACUGGGAUAACUUCGGGAAACCGGAGCUAAUACCGGAUAACAUGUUGAACCGCAUGGUUCAACAGUGAAAGACGGUCUUGCUGUCACUUAUAGAUGGAUCCGCGCCGCAUUAGCUAGUUGGUAAGGUAACGGCUUACCAAGGCAACGAUGCGUAGCCGACCUGAGAGGGUGAUCGGCCACACUGGAACUGAGACACGGUCCAGACUCCUACGGGAGGCAGCAGUAGGGAAUCUUCCGCAAUGGGCGAAAGCCUGACGGAGCAACGCCGCGUGAGUGAAGAAGGUCUUCGGAUCGUAAAACUCUGUUAUUAGGGAAGAACAAAUGUGUAAGUAACUAUGCACGUCUUGACGGUACCUAAUCAGAAAGCCACGGCUAACUACGUGCCAGCAGCCGCGGUAAUACGUAGGUGGCAAGCGUUAUCCGGAAUUAUUGGGCGUAAAGCGCGCGUAGGCGGUUUUUUAAGUCUGAUGUGAAAGCCCACGGCUCAACCGUGGAGGGUCAUUGGAAACUGGAAAACUUGAGUGCAGAAGAGGAAAGUGGAAUUCCAUGUGUAGCGGUGAAAUGCGCAGAGAUAUGGAGGAACACCAGUGGCGAAGGCGACUUUCUGGUCUGUAACUGACGCUGAUGUGCGAAAGCGUGGGGAUCAAACAGGAUUAGAUACCCUGGUAGUCCACGCCGUAAACGAUGAGUGCUAAGUGUUAGGGGGUUUCCGCCCCUUAGUGCUGCAGCUAACGCAUUAAGCACUCCGCCUGGGGAGUACGACCGCAAGGUUGAAACUCAAAGGAAUUGACGGGGACCCGCAC